rnacentral:miRNA from 1 species
CUUAAGCCUAGUUUCCAUUUGGUCGUUAGUUGUCGCUGGCACGACAAGUGGCUGAUGUAAUAGAGUGUCAACAAAACUUUAUAAAACUCUGCAAUCAUUAAGACUGAUUUGCAUAUAACACACAAAAAGACUAUUGAUAUUAAACUAUUUCACAUAUACCGCUUGUCGUGCCAGCGACAACUAACGACCAAAUGGAAACUAGGCUUUAAG